rnacentral:rRNA from 1 species
UGAGCAAUCUGCCCUGGACUCUGGGAUAAGCGUUGGAAACGACGUCUAAUACCGGAUACGAGACGUGAAGGCAUCUUCAGCGUCUGGAAAGAACUUCGGUCCAGGAUGAGCUCGCGGCCUAUCAGGUAGUUGGUGAGGCAACGGCCCACAGCCUACGGACGGGUAGCCGGCCUGAGAGGGUGACCGGCCACACUGGGACUGAGAUACGGCCCAGACUCCUACAGGGAGCAG